rnacentral:rRNA from 1 species
GAUGGACGCUAGCUACAGGCUUAACACAUGCAAGUCGAGGGGAAACGGCAUUUAGUGCUUGCACUGAAUGGACGUCGACCGGCGCACGGGUGAGUAACGCGUAUCCAACCUACCCAUUACUGUGGGAUAACCUGCCGAAAGGCAGACUAAUAUCGCAUAGUCUUCGAUGACGGCAUCAGAUUUGAAGUAAAGAUCUAUCGGUAAUGGAUGGGGAUGCGUCUGAUUAGCUUGUUGGCGGGGUAACGGCCCACCAAGGCAACGAUCAGUAGGGGUUCUGAGAGGAAGGUCCCCCACAUUGGAACUGAGACACGGUCCAAACUCCUACGGGAGGCAGCAGUGAGGAAUAUUGGACAAUGGGCGCGAGCCUGAACCAGCCAAGUAGCGUGCAGGAUGACGGCCCUAUGGGUUGUAAACUGCUUUUGUAUGGGGAUAAAGUCAAUCACGUGUGAUUGUUUGCAGGUACCAUACGAACAAGGACCGGCUAAUUCCGUGC